GGGAAUUUCACGCUGGUUUUGCCUUGGCAUCAGUGGCGACGUUCAUCAUAGACUUUAUUUCGCCCAAAAUUGUCCGUCUGUUUUGAUCCAAAUAUAGCCGAAGGUCAGCCUGAUCAGCUUGUACUCAUUGAAAUACAUGAGAUACACGAAUACAAUUAUACAAUAUUGCAUAUAGUAUAAGUUUGAUUCUUUUUUGAUAUACACAACAUAAUGAAAUAUAUUUAUUUAAAAUAAAAUAAAAUAGCUUGUUAGAUAUUCUGAUAUAGACAGAAUGACAAAUUACCUGUAAUUUCGAAUCAUUAGUUUACAAUAUCACAAUGGAAUUUAUUACCGUCAUGUCUCAAAACUGGGAGAAGCAGAAAGAGCAAGUCAUUCACCCGACAUUUGUUCCUCAAGACGGAUAACAACGACACGCGGAUAAUUAAAAUGACAGAGUGAAGAUUAUAAUUAUCCAUCCACAACUGAUCAAGACCAGAGCUGUUUCCCCAUGAAUAAUGCCAGACUAUCCAGAAGUUCACCUGGGCAGUCCCAAAAAGGCAGAAAAAGCCGGUCUUGUUCUUCCUCUACCCCAGCCCAGGAUGAAUUUAACGGGGACACACGUAGACGGGGGCAAUCCAGGGAUUCAGCUGGCCGUUCUAGAUGCUCUCCUUCCCCAUCUCACUUCACACACGAAUUAUCCAGGGCUUCUACUAGUCAGUCCCACCUCCAGAGCAGAGAGCACAGACGCUUUCCAUAUCCAUCCUGUUACUCUACCAGACAAGAUUCAUCCAGGACUUCUAUUUGCCAGUCCCAACGGAGCCAAGAGCAUCUCAGCUCUCACCCUCCCAUUCCCUCCGCUCGACCAGAGCUGUUUCCCAUGAACAAUGCCAUGUGUCCAAUCUAAAUUGGUGGAGAUAUUGGAGGAAGUGAAACAUGUUGGGAGAUCAGAGCCCCAAGACUCUUUGAGUUCCAUGUCAAGAUGAUCGAGACGGAGCAAGACUUUGAGCAACAAGAGAAGCAGCUCCAAAGUGUGGAUGCAUAGAAUCUGAUGGUGAAAUUGACAUUUAUUUUAACAUUUCAUUUACACUGUAGUCAGCAUUUUUCACACUACCUAAAGCGAUACAAUUAGUUAAUUCC
rnacentral:lncRNA from 1 species